AGUGAACGCUGGCGGUAGGCCUAACACAUGCAAGUCGAACGGCAGCACAGUAAGAGCUUGCUCUUACGGGUGGCGAGUGGCGGACGGGUGAGGAAUACAUCGGAAUCUACUUUUUCGUGGGGGAUAACGUAGGGAAACUUACGCUAAUACCGCAUACGACCUACGGGUGAAAGCAGGGGAUCUUCGGACCUUGCGCGAUUGAAUGAGCCGAUGUCGGAUUAGCUAGUUGGCGGGGUAAAGGCCCACCAAGGCGACGAUCCGUAGCUGGUCUGAGAGGAUGAUUAGCCCACCUGGAACUUAGACACGGUCCAGACCCCCACCGGGGGGAGGAGUUGGGGAUAUUUGGCCAUGGGCGGAAGCCUGGUCCCGCCAUUCCGCCUUGGUUGAGAAGGCCCUCCGGUUGGUAAACCCUUUUUUUUGGAAAGGAAAACAGGCGGGUAAAUCCCCCGUUUUCCGGCGGUUCCCAAAGAAUUAGCCCCCGCCUACCUUCGU
rnacentral:rRNA from 1 species